rnacentral:rRNA from 1 species
GGGUGAGUAACGCGUAUGCAACCUGCCCGUUUCAGCGGGAUAACCCGGAGAAAUCCGGCCUAAUACCGCAUGUGGCCAAGGGGAGGCAUCUUCUUUCGGCCAAAGGAGGCGACUCCGGAGACGGAUGGGCAUGCGUGACAUUAGCUUGUUGGCGGGGUAACGGCCCACCAAGGCGACGAUGUCUAGGGGUUCUGAGAGGAAGGUCCCCCACACUGGUACUGAGACACGGACCAGACUCCUACGGGAGGCAGCAGUGAGGAAUAUUGGUCAAUGGGCGAGAGCCUGAACCAGCCAAGUCGUGUGAAGGAUGACGGCCCUACGGGUUGUAAACUUCUUCUGUCAGGGAGCAAUUGAGUCCACGUGUGGGCUUAGCGAGAGUACCUGAAGAAAAAGCAUCGGCUAACUCCGUGCCAGCAGCCGCGGUAAUACGGAGGAUGCGAGCGUUAUCCGGAUUUAUUGGGUUUAAAGGGUGCGUAGGCGGAAUAUCAAGUCAGCGGUAAAAAUUCGGGGCUCAACCCCGUCGUGCCGUUGAAACUGAUGUUCUUGAGUGGGCGAGAAGUAUGCGGAAUGCGUGGUGUAGCGGUGAAAUGCAUAGAUAUCACGCAGAACUCCGAUUGCGAAGGCAGCAUACCGGCGCCCAACUGACGCUGAAGCACGAAAGCGUGGGUAUCGAACAGGAUUAGAUACCCUGGUAGUCCACGCAGUAAACGAUGAAAGCUAAUUGUCCGGA